rnacentral:rRNA from 1 species
UACGUAGGGUACAAGCAUUAAUCGGAAUUACUGGGCGUAAAGCGCGCGUAGGCGGCUUUUCAAGUCGAUUGUGAAAUCCCCGGGCUUAACCUGGGAACUGCAGUCGAGACUGUCUAGCUAGAGUAUGGGAGAGGGAAGUGGAAUUUCAGGUGUAGCGGUGAAAUGCGUAGAUAUCUGAAGGAACAUCAGUGGCGAAAGCGACUUCCUGGACCAAUACUGACGCUCAUGUGCGAAAGCGUGGGGAGCAAACAGG